rnacentral:rRNA from 1 species
GACGAACCGUGCGAACGUUAUUCGGAAUCAUUGGGCUUAAAGGGCGCGUAGGCGGCGAUAUAAGUUGGAAGUGAAAUCCCAUCGGCUCAACCGUGGAAUAGCUCCCAGUACUGUAUCGCUCGAGGGGGAUAGGGGUCUGCAGAACUACCGGUGGAGCGGUGAAAUGUGUUGAUAUCGGUGGGAACGCCAGUGGCGAAAGCGGCAGACUUGACCCUUCCUGACGCUGAGUGCGCGAAAGCUAGGGGAGCAAACGGG